rnacentral:rRNA from 2 species
UACGGGAGGCAGCAGUGGGGAAUCUUGCACAAUGGGCGAAAGCCUGAUGCAGCGACGCCGCGUGCGGGAUGAAGGCCUUCGGGUUGUAAACCGCUUUCAGCAGGGACGAGGCCGCAAGGUGACGGUACCUGCAGAAGAAGCCCCGGCUAACUACGUGCCAGCAGCCGCGGUAAU